AUGGGCAAUACGUGCCGUGGAUCUUUCAAGGGGAAGCUUUAUUCUUCGAACCGCACCGCCGCCAAGACUUCUUCCGGCCGAUCGAAUUCCACCGAUUAUUCCCCUUCGACUGUAAACUCUCAACAGCUUAUUGCCCAAGAAUUCUCCAAAGAAACCACCAAAAAGGACCCCAAUUUGCCUCUCAUUAGCCCCACCAACAAGAAAGACAACAGCAACAUGAGACGAGGUAUCGAUCAACAGGCUUACUAUGUUUUAGGUCACAAGACUCCCAACAUCCGCGACCUUUACACUUUGGGUCGUAAGCUAGGACAAGGACAGUUUGGGACUACUUACCUUUGUACCGAGAUCACCACGGGCGUCGAGUAUGCCUGUAAGUCGAUAUCCAAAAGGAAGUUGAUCUCCAAAGAGGAUGUCGAGGAUGUUCGGAGGGAGAUUCAGAUAAUGCACCAUUUGGCUGGUCAUAAGAACAUUGUGACGAUUAAAGGUGCAUACGAGGAUACUUUGUAUGUGCAUAUCGUUAUGGAGCUUUGCUCUGGAGGUGAAUUGUUCGACCGUAUUAUCCAGAGAGGGCAUUACUCUGAGAGGAAGGCGGCUGAAUUGACUAAGAUCAUUGUUGGGGUUGUCGAGGCUUGUCAUUCGCUCGGGGUUAUGCAUAGAGAUUUGAAGCCUGAGAAUUUCUUGUUGGUUAACAAAGAUGAUGAUUUCUCUCUCAAGGCCAUUGAUUUUGGACUCUCUGUCUUCUUUAAACCAGACCAAGUUUUUACCGAUGUGGUUGGAAGCCCAUAUUAUGUUGCUCCUGAAGUACUCCUCAAGCAUUAUGGACCAGAAGCCGACGUAUGGACUGCAGGAGUUAUACUCUAUAUAUUGCUAAGUGGAGUGCCUCCAUUUUGGGCAGAAACACAGCAAGGGAUAUUUGAUGCAGUGUUAAAAGGACAUAUUGACUUCGAUUCAGACCCAUGGCCCUUGAUAUCUGAUAGUGCAAAGAACUUAAUUCGAAAGAUGUUAUGCUCUCAACCUUCAGAGCGGCUGACUGCUCACGAAGUAUUAUGUCAUCCUUGGAUUUGUGAAAAUGGGGUUGCUCCUGACAGGGCACUGGAUCCAGCUGUACUUUCUCGCCUCAAACAAUUCUCGGCAAUGAAUAAACUAAAGAAGAUGGCUUUACGGGUGAUAGCUGAAAGUCUCUCCGAGGAAGAGAUUGCUGGUCUGAGAGAAAUGUUUACGUCUAUGGAUACUGAUAACAGUGGUGCAAUCACAUUUGAUGAACUCAAAGCUGGAUUACGAAGAUAUGGCUCUACCUUGAAAGAUACAGAGAUAAGGGACCUUAUGGAUGCAGCUGAUGUUGACAAUAGUGGGACCAUUGAUUAUGGAGAAUUUAUAGCUGCAACAGUUCACCUUAACAAACUAGAGCGUGAGGAGCAUCUCGUUGCAGCAUUCCGAUACUUUGAUAAGGAUGGAAGUGGCUAUAUUACUGUCGAUGAGCUUCAGCAAGCUUGUACUGAGCACAACAUGACAGAUGUUUUGCUUGAGGAUAUAAUUAGAGAAGUUGAUCAAGAUAAUGAUGGAAGAAUUGAUUAUGGUGAAUUUGUUGCAAUGAUGCAAAAAGGCAAUGCAGGAAUUGGUCGACGAACCAUGCGAAACAGUGUGAAUAUAAGCAUGAGAGAUGCCCCCGGUGCUCUAUGAUUUCCAGUCACGCCCAUCAUGUAUAGGUAUCUUCUGUCUAGCUUCCUAGAUCUGGAUAACCCUUGCGCCGGAAUAACAAUAAUUGAAAAACUCCGAUAUUGAUGUAUUGGUGUUUGCAUUUUCAUUAAAAGGGAUCGGAAGAGACUUCUGCACCCAUUUUUGUUUAGUCUUCCUCGAAUUAUAUGGUACUGACAUCUACUUAUACGCAGAUUGUACAGCCAACCCAGACGAUGAAGAUCAGCAACAAAGCAUUCGGGAAACGGCUCUGGUUCCGCGAAUGCUUCAGGACUUUGCCGGCAAAGAAAACGGUUGAUGGCUAUUGGUUUAUGAAUGGCAUAGUUUUGUAAACUUGAGGAGUGUUUAAGUGUUAAAGUUAUUCAAAUUACGAUGUCAUUAGUCAUGCCUUUAUUUGAUUUUUUUUGAAGGAUUUGCAGAUAAUAGUGUCUUUAAAUUGAUAGAUAUGUUGAUUUCGUCCUUCAUAAUUAUAUAUUUCUAGCA